AGCUGGCCCCUGGUUUUCCCCGCCCGCCGGGUAGCCAGGGGCGAGAUCAAUAGGCUGGAUACGCACGUAGAUCCUGUAGCGUAGGGCUUGCGGACGCGGGUUCGAUUCCCGCCGCCUCCACCA
rnacentral:tmRNA from 1 species